GGGACAACAGUUGGAAACGACUGCUAAUACCGCAUAAGCCCACGGAUCCGCAUGGAUCUGCGGGAAAAGGAUUUAUUCGCUCUAGGAUGGACUCGCGUCCAAUUAGCUAGUUGGUGAGGUAACGGCCCACCAAGGCGACGAUUGGUAGCCGGACUGAGAGGUUGAACGGCCACAUUGGGACUGAGACACGGCCCAGACUCCUACGGGAGGCAGCAGUGGGGGAUAUUGCACAAUGGGGGAAACCCUGAUGCAGCGACGCCGCGUGGAGGAAGAAGGUUUUCGGAUUGUAAACUCCUGUCGUUAGGGACGAUAAUGACGGUACCUAACAAGAAAGCACCGGCUAACUACGUGCCAGCAGCCGCGGUAAAACGUAGGGUGCAAGCGUUGUCCGGAAUUACUGGGUGUAAAGGGAGCGCAGGCGGACCGGCAAGUUGGAAGUGAAAACUAUGGGCUCAACCCAUAAAUUGCUUUCAAAACUGCUGGCCUUGAGUAGUGCAGAGGUAGGUGGAAUUCCCGGUGUAGCGGUGGAAUGCGUAGAUAUCGGGAGGAACACCAGUGGCGAAGGCGACCUACUGGGCACCAACUGACGCUGAGGCUCGAAAGCAUGGGUAGCAAACAGGAUUAGAUACCCUGGUAGUCCAUGCCGUAAACGAUGAAUACUGGGUGUUGGAGGAUUGACCCCUUCAGUGCCGCAG
rnacentral:rRNA from 1 species